rnacentral:lncRNA from 1 species
ACAUUCAAGUCUUGAGUUUAUUCAAGUAAAAUAAGAAAAGGACAAAACAACAUCAAGGUGUAUCUGUUAGAAAUCAUCAAUGACAUCACAUCAACUCACAAGUAUCACAGUAGGAUAGAAAUUAACACUUGGUAGAAUAUAUAACUUAAACAUCCAUGGUGGAGACAUUAACACUUGGUAGAAUAUAUAACUUAAACAUCCAUGGUGGAGACAUUAACACUUGGUAGACUAUAUAACUUAAACAUCCAUGGUGGAGACAUUAACACUUGGUAGACUAUAUAACUUAAACAUCCAUGGUGGUGACAUUAACACUUGGUAGACUAUAUAACUUAAACAUCCAUGGUGGUGACAUUAACACUUGGUAGACUAUAUAACUUAAACAUCCAUGGUGGAGACAUUAACACUUGGUAGACUAUAUAACUUAAACAUCCAUGGUGGUGACAUUAACACUUGGUAGAAUAUAUAACUUAAACAUCCAUGGUGGAGACAUUAACACUUGGUAGACUAUAUAACUUAAACAUCCAUGGUGGAGACAUUAACACUUGGUAGACUAUAUAACUUAAACAUCCAUGGUGGAGACAUUAACACUUGGUAGACUAUAUAACUUAAACAUCCAUGGUGGUGACAUUAACACUUGGUAGACUAUAUAACUUAAACAUCCCUGGUGGAGACAUUAACUUUUUCAUAAUGUUUCCAAAUUGAUUGUUUUUUCUAGAAGCAUCUACCAGCUUGUUGUUGUUGUCAUGAUUGUUCCUGUUGGGUAGCAACUUCACCAGCUUGUUGUUGUUGUCAUGGCUGUUCCUGUUGGGUAGCAACUUCACCAGCUUCUUGUUGUUGUUGUCAUGGCUGUUCCUGUUGGGUAGCAACUUCACCAGCUUGUUGUUGUUGUCAUGGCUGUUCCUGUUGGGUAGCAACUUCACCAGCUUG